GUAGGUGAACCUGCGGAAGGAUCAUUAAAAAUGAAGCCGGGAAACCGGUCCUUCUAACCCUUGAUUAUCUCAAUUUGUUGCUUUGGAGGGCCGCGCAAGCACCGGCUUCGGCCGGCGAGCGCUUGCCAGAGGACCUAAACUCUGUUUGUCGAUAAUGUCUGAGUACUAUAUAAUAGUUAAAACUUUCAACAACGGAUCUCUUGGUUCUG
rnacentral:misc_RNA from 1 species